rnacentral:tRNA from 1 species
UAAACCUCAAGCUUAGAGUUUUUCAUUUACGGUGAAAAGGAUGUAGGUUUUG